rnacentral:lncRNA from 1 species
GUAAAAUUCCUUUCCAAGAGCUCAAAUCUCAGCAGUUAUUUUAGUUUUCUGUUUUUUGAGGAAAACUGACACUACACUAAAGAUGAGGAGACAGAAGAAAUUAAUGGAAUGCAACUGCUUUGUACCCACUUAUGGUGGUGCUGAGUUUGGGUGAUUAGGAAACAGUUUUCUGUUUCCUGUGUCCAUUCAGAAAGUAGGAAGAUAAAUGUUCUAGACACUCAAUGUAAACUUUCUCUCAUGGCUGAUAAAAUUAAUAUCUUCUGUUCUUUUUAACAGAUCUUCUAGUAAUUCAUAGUUUCCAGCAUAUAAAGCCUUUUUUCACAUGCUGAGAAAUGAGAAGGCACAUUACUAGUUGGAGCAAUGGCAAUCAGCAAUGAAAUCAGUUCUUCUUCUCCUGACCUGUUUCCUCAUCACUGGCCUGACCCUUGGACAUGCCACCAGAAAGAGAUUUACCCACUUAAGCAUUUCUCUAUGAUCUGCAUCUGUUGCUGGAGAUGAUCAUGUGUAUCUGCCUUUUUUUGAGAACU